UAAGGAAUAUUGCGCAAUGGGCGAAAGCCUGACGCAGCGACGCCGCGUGGGGGAUGAAGGUCUUCGGAUUGUAAACCCCUUUCGGGAGGGAAGAUGGAAUGGGGUAACCCAUUCGGACGGUACCUCCAGAAGCAGCCACGGCUAACUUCGUGCCAGCAGCCGCGGUAAUACGAAGGUGGCAAGCGUUAUUCGGAUUUACUGGGCGUACAGGGAGCGUAGGCGGUUCGGUAAGCCCUCUGUGAAAUCUUCAGGCUUAACCUGGAAAAGUCGGAGGGGACUGCUGGGCUAGAGGACGGGAGAGGAGCGCGGAAUUCCCGGUGUAGCGGUGAAAUGCGUAGAGAUCGGGAGGAAGGCCGGUGGCGAAGGCGGCGCUCUGGAACGUUUCUGACGCUGAGGCUCGAAAGCGUGGGGAGCAAACAGGAUUAGAUACCCACGUAGUCCCUGAGCGGGCUGGCAAGGCGCAU
rnacentral:rRNA from 1 species